AAUAUUAGAAUGUAGGUUAGUUAUUAAAAUUCUUAGAAACUAUUGCAUAUCACACAUAAGCUCUGUACAAAGUUAAUGUUUGAAUCAUUUUAUAAUGCUUUAUCAGUCCCAGUUACUUUUAACACCAGUAACACUUUAUACAUUUGAGUUGAAACAUAAAGGGGCAUCGGUGACUCUCGCCUGCCAUGCAAAAGGCCUGGGUUCGAUUCGCACCCAAUGCCCAAACCCCAGCCACUGGAUACAGUGCCGGUCCCAAGCCUGGACACCAUGGGAGGCUAGUUUCAGGAAGAGAAUCCAGCGUAAAACCUGUGCCAAGUUGUUGUGCGGAUCAGAUGGUCCGCUGUGGCGACCCCUCCAACGACUAACAACAACAUUGCUACGAUACAUUAAAAUUUCUCACCUGAACAACAUGCUGCUGUUUCGGGAUUGUCUGAUCAGACACCUUGAAACAGAGAGGAUCCUUCAUGUUCUCCACCAGGAGCAAGUUACAACACUUGAAAAUUCCAAAAGAGGUUUGAAAAGGGUUUUGUGAGAUUGAUGACUCACGAAAAUAUGCGUGCUGUAGAUGAAAUGUUCCAUCCUCUUUUUGGCAAUAAGCAGCAUUUUAUCAAAGAGGAAGAAGGCCCUCUCCUUU